UACAGAGGGUGCGAGCGUUGUCCGGAAUCACUGGGCGUAAAGGGCGCGUAGGCGGUGCCACAAGUCACCUGUGAAAUCUCCGGGCUUAACUCGGAGCCUGCAGGCGAAACUGUGGUGCUGGAGUGUGGGAGAGGUGCGUGGAAUUCCCGGUGUAGCGGUGAAAUGCGUAGAGAUCCGGAGGAACACCAGUGGCGAAGGCGACACGCUGGGUCACACCUGACGCUAAAGCGCGACAGCAUGGGGAGCGAACGGG
rnacentral:rRNA from 1 species